rnacentral:rRNA from 1 species
GAUGAACGCUAGCGGUGCGCCUAACACAUGCAAGUCGAGCGAUGAAGUUCCUUCGGGAAUGGAUUAGCGGCGGACGGGUGAGUAACACGUGGGUAACCUGCCUCAUAGAGGGGAAUAGCCUUUCGAAAGGAAGAUUAAUACCGCAUAAGAUUGUAGUAUCGCAUGAUACAGCAAUUAAAGGAGUAAUCCGCUAUGAGAUGGAACCGCGUCGCAUUAGCUAGUUGGUGAGGUAACGGCUCACCAAGGCGACGAUGCGUAGCCGACCUGAGAGGGUGAUCGGCCACAUUGGGACUGAGACACGGCCCAGACUCCUACGGGAGGCAGCAGUGGGGAAUAUUGCACAAUGGGGGAAACCCUGAUGCAGCAACGCCGCGUGAGUGAUGACGGUCUUCGGAUUGUAAAACUCUGUCUUCAGGGACGAUAAUGACGGUACCUGAGGAGGAAGCCACGGCUAACUACGUGCCAGCAGCCGCAGUAACAC